UGCAUGAAGCCGGAAUUGCUAGUAAUGGCAGGUCAGCAUACUGCCGUGAAUACGUUCCCGGGCCUUGUACACACCGCCCGUCACACCAUGAGAGUUGGGAAUACCCGAAGCCUGUGAGCUAACUAUUUAUAGAGGCAGCAGUCGAAGGUAGAAUCAAUGAUUGGGGUGAAGUCGUAACAAGGUACC
rnacentral:rRNA from 1 species